AACGGUCAAAUGUAGUGAACCCACCAAGAAUCCCCGUUGCAUUCCCAAAAAAUCACUGUAAUAAAAUCACAGGCGAAGCGUCACAGUCACUCCCUCUCCUCACACAAAAAAAGUGAAACCCCCCACACCACACCCAACCCUCACCUUAGGGUUCCUCUGUUCUUCUUCUAACCCAACAAGAAAAAAAAAUCACAUUCCCCAAAACACCCUUCUCGCUCCGCAUGGCGAAAACGAGGCCAGGCAGAAAGGACGUGGACUCAUACACCAUAAGAGGAACCAACAAGAUCGUCCGAGCUGGAGACUGUGUUCUGAUGCGGCCCUCGGACACGUCGAAGCCCCCUUACGUGGCGCGCGUGGAGAUGAUCGAGCAGGAUAAUAGGAACAACGUGAAGGUGCGUGUGAGGUGGUACUACAGGCCGGAAGAGUCGAUUGGUGGUCGGAGACAGUUCCAUGGUGCGAAAGAACUGUUCCUCUCCGACCACUACGAUGUGCAGAGCGCGCACACCAUUGAGGGCAAGUGCGUGGUGCACUCUUUCAAGAACUACACUAAGCUUGAGAAUGUGGGUGCUGAGGAUUACUAUUGUAGAUUCGAGUACAAGGCCGCUUCUGGGGCUUUUACCCCUGACCGUGUUGCUGUGUAUUGCAAAUGUGAGAUGCCUUAUAACCCGGAUGAUCUCAUGGUACAAUGUGAAGGGUGCAAGGAUUGGUUUCUUGUAGGUACCAUCCUGCUUGCAUGGGCAUGACUAUUGAAGAAGCUAAGAAACUAGAUCAUUUUGUAUGUUCCGAAUGUUCAUCUGAUGAUGAUAUGAAGAAACCCCAAGCUACAUUUUCUGCAUCACUGGGAGCUGAUGGCAAGGUGGAGCCGAAGCGGCGGAAGAGAUGACCAUGUGAGGUGUGUGUGGUUCUUGCUUAAUUUGGCUGGCUCUAUGGUAGCUUUUGUGUGUUGUACGGCUUCUUCUAGAGGCUAUAAACAUUGAUUUCAUGUAUUUGAUUCAGGUUAUUAUGUAUCUAUCCGUUUUACAUUUUGUUAUGACAGUUCAUCUGUUUUUCCUUUUGUCCAUUGAUGAGAACUCCGAUCCAAGUGUUAAUUCUUGAGAUGGCAUCAAACCUUAAAAACCAAGUACAGCGCAAUUGUUAGUUUAAAA